rnacentral:tRNA from 1 species
GGGAGAUCAAAGCAUGGAAAAAUAAAGUCAAAAUACAAAAACUUAUUUCCCAGGAUUUCAAGAUAGAGCAUCCCGAUUUGUAAUCGGGACGGUCAAAGGUUCGAAUCCUUUCGCGCUCA